rnacentral:rRNA from 1 species
GAUGAACGCUAGCGGCAGGCUUAACACAUGCAAGUCGAGGGGUAUAGGUUUUCGGACCUAGAGACCGGCGCACGGGUGCGUAACGCGUAUGCAAUCUACCUUUUGCAGAGGGAUAGCCCAGAGAAAUUUGGAUUAAUACCUCAUAGUAUUAUAGGAUGGCAUCAUUUUAUAAUUAAAGUCACAACGGCAAAAGAUGAGCAUGCGUCCCAUUAGCUAGAUGGUAAGGUAACGGCUUACCAUGGCUACGAUGGGUAGGGGUCCUGAGAGGGAGAUCCCCCACACUGGUACUGAGACACGGACCAGACUCCUACGGGAGGCAGCAGUGAGGAAUAUUGGUCAAUCGACGCAAGUCUGAACCAGCCAUGCCGCGUGCAGGAUGACGGUCCAAUGGAUUGUAAACUGCUUUUGUACAGGAAGAAACACUCCUUCGUGAAGGAACUUGACGGUACUGUAAGAAUAAGGAUCGGCUAACUCCGUGCCAGCAGCCGCGGUAAAAC